UUCAACGGUCUUCACGAUCCGGCUUUGUUGAGCAACUUCCUCAAGGGCUUUGUUGUCUUCAAGAGGUUCUUGAUGAACCUUCGAUAAAAUCUGAUACCACCCGUUUUCGGAAACUACUUGCACAACACUCACCCAUUCACCAUCGGAGAUAGAACAAUUCAUCCCGGCCUCUACUAGUUUGAAAACUUCCUUCUUCAAUACUUCCUCCUCAACUUCC
rnacentral:lncRNA from 1 species